AACGAACGCUGGCGGCAUGCCUAACACAUGCAAGUCGAACGAGACCUUCGGGUCUAGUGGCGCACGGGUGCGUAACGCGUGGGAAUCUGCCCUUGGGUUCGGAACAACAGUUGGAAACGACUGCUAAUACCGGAUGAUGACUUCGGUCCAAAGAUUUAUCGCCCAAGGAUGAGCCCGCGUAGGAUUAGCUUGUUGGUGAGGUAAAAGCUCACCAAGGCGACGAUCCUUAGCUGGUCUGAGAGGAUGAUCAGCCACACUGGGACUGAGACACGGCCCAGACUCCUACGGGAGGCAGCAGUGGGGAAUAUUGGACAAUGGGCGAAAGCCUGAUCCAGCAAUGCCGCGUGAGUGAUGAAGGCCUUAGGGUUGUAAAGCUCUUUUACCCGGGAUGAUAAUGACAGUACCGGGAGAAUAAGCCCCGGCUAACUCCGUGCCAGCAGCCGCCGCGG
rnacentral:rRNA from 1 species